CCUACGGGAGGCAGCAGUGGGGAAUCUUGCGCAAUGGGCGAAAGCCUGACGCAGCGACGCCGUGUGUGCGAUGAAGGUUUUCGGAUCGUAAAGCACUGUCGCCCGGAAGAUGGUACCGGGAGAGGAAGCACCGGCUAACUCUGUGCCAGCAGCCGCGGUAAUACAGAGGGUGCGAGCGUUGUUCGGAAUUAUUGGGCGUAAAGCGCUGGUAGGUGGCUUGUUAAGUCGCGUGUGAAAUCUCCAGGCUCAACCUGGAAAGUGCGCGCGAAACUGGCGAGCUUGAGUGCCGGAGAGGGUCGCGGAAUUCCCAGUGUAGAGGUGAAAUUCGUAGAUAUUGGGAGGAACACCAGAGGCGAAGGCGGCGACCUGGAAGGUACUGACACUGAGCAGCGAAAGCGUGGGGAGCAAACAGGAUUAGAUACCCUUGUAGUC
rnacentral:rRNA from 1 species